rnacentral:rRNA from 1 species
CGGGCCUGCAGUCGACGAUUCGCGGCCUAUCAGCUUGUUGGUGGGGUAGUGGCUUACCAAGGCUUUGACGGGUAGCCGGCCUGAGAGGGUGACCGGCCACAUUGGGACUGAGAUACGGCCCAGACUCCUACGGGAGGCAGCAGUGGGGAAUAUUGCACAAUGGGCGGAAGCCUGAUGCAGCAACGCCGCGUGCGAGAUGACGGCCUUCGGGUUGUAAACCGCUUUCGCCUGUGACGAAGCGUGAGUGACGGUAAUGGGUAAAGAAGCACCGGCUAACUACGUGCCAGCAGCCGCGGUGAUACGUAGGGUGCGAGCGUUGUCCGGAUUUAUUGGGCGUAAAGGGCUCGUAGGUGGUUGAUCGCGUCGGAAGUGUAAUCUUGGGGCUUAACCCUGAGCGUGCUUUCGAUACGGGUUGACUUGAGGAAGGUAGGGGAGAAUGGAAUUCCUGGUGGAGCGGUGGAAUGCGCAGAUAUCAGGAGGAACACCAGUGGCGAAGGCGGUUCUCUGGGCCUUUCCUGACGCUGAGGAGCGAAAGCGUGGGGAGCGAACAGGCUUAGAUACCCUGGUAGUCCACGCUGUAAACGGUGGGUACUAGGUGUGGGGUCCAUUCCACGGGUUCCGUGCCGUAACUAACGCUUUAAGUACCCCGCCUGGGGAGUACGGAAU